UGCGGAUUGAUGUAAUAGUAACAUGUCUGGCUCAUGACCAGUUUAUAGAGGUGCGAAUCCUUUGUCCGUAA
rnacentral:tRNA from 2 species